GUUCGUAGGCUGUUUAUUAAGUUGGGGGUGAAAUCUCCGGGCUCAACCCGGAGCUCGUUCUCAAAACUGGUAGACUUGAGUAAGGUAGAGGCUGACGGAAUUCUGCAAGUAGGGGUAAAAUCCGUUGAUCUGCAGAGGAACACCAAAAGCGAAGGCAGUCAGCUGGGCCUUUACUGACGCUGAGGGACGAAAGCGUGGGUAGCGAACGGGAUUAGAUACCCCGGUAGUCCACGCCGUAAAUGAUGGAUACUGGACAUUGGUACUCGAUCGUAUCAGUGUCUCAAGCUAACGCAUUAAGUAUCCCGCCUGGGGAGUACGGUCGCAAGAUUAAAACUCAAAGGAAUAGACGGGGACCCACACAAGCGGUGGAGCAUGUGGUUUAAUUCGACAAUAAGCGAGGAACCUUACCAGGGCUUGACAUCCCGAGAAUUCUUUAGAAAUAGAGAAGUGCCUUUAUGGAACUCGGUGACAGGUGCUGCAUGGUUGUCGUCAGCUCGUGCCUUGAGGUGUUCGGUUAAGUCCGUAAACGAGCGCAACCCUAGUCCUAUGUUGUAUAUUUCAUAGGAGACUGCCUUGUCCAACGAGGAGGAAGGUUAGGAUGACGUCAAAUCAGCAUGGCCCUUAUGUCCUGGGCGACACACGUGCUACAAUGGUCGGUACAAUGGGUAGCCAACCCGCGAGGGGGAGCCAAUCCCAUCAAAGCCGGUCCAAGUUCGGAUUGGAGGCUGCAACUCGCCUCCAUGAAGUUGG
rnacentral:rRNA from 1 species